UACGUAGGGACCAAGCGUUGUCCGGAAUCAUUGGGCGUAAAGCGCGCGUAGGUGGCUUCGUAAGUCCGUUGUGAAAGUCAAAGGCUCAACCUUUGAAAGCCGAUGGAUACUGCCGGGCUGGAGUCCGGAAGAGGCGAGUGGAAUUCCUGGUGUAGCGGUGGAAUGCGCAGAUAUCAGGAGGAACACCAAUAGCGAAGGCAGCUCGCUGGGACGGUACUGACGCUGAGGCGCGAAAGCGUGGGGAGCGAACAGG
rnacentral:rRNA from 1 species